CCUUCCGAAGGCGGUAGCCCUUCCGAUCUCCUCUUCCUUGCUGGUGGUGGUUCCCUCCUUUCCUUUGUCUAUUAGGUUUAGGAUAUAUUUACAUAAGAUUAAGUUGUAAGCUGUAAGCCAAAUAAGAGUCUUUUAGAAGUAUUAGAUCUCGAUUAAGCAAGUUUAUUGGGAUUUAAUUGUGUUGGGAAUUUUAAGUAAAGAUGAGUGAAAGCUUGAUGUUAAGGAUCAAGAGGGUUCCUACUGUUGUGUCGAAUUUCCAGAAAGAGGAGGCGGAAGAGGGUGCUCGCCGGAGUGGGGGCUGUGGCCGAAAUUGCCUUCAGAAGUGUUGCAUUCAAGGGGCAAAGCUCCCUU
rnacentral:misc_RNA from 1 species